AAUGACUGGUGUUAAUAAGGCUCCAUCUGCACCAACAUCGCUAUGGAGGCAUGGGACAGUGGAAAAGCGCCAUAUAUCACAUGCUGCUGUGUCAUCUGCUUAUGGUUUAUCAGCAUUUGGCUGGGAACCUCGUUUGUGUCAGCAAAUGCUCUUUCAUACCACCUUUGAGGAAGUGAUGCAGAGUACCAUUGCGUGGCUUCCUACCCCGUCCCCAGGGAGGACACUGGGUUGUGUUGAGGCUUUUCAUUUCCUUUUGGAAACAGUGUAGGCCAGGCGUGGUGGCUCAUGCCUGUAAUCCCUAAACUUUGGGAGACCAGGAUGGGAGGACUGCUUGAGCCCAGGAAUUUGAGACCAACCUGGGCAAGAUAGUGAGACCCUAUCUCUAUUAAAAAAAAUUAAAAAAAUUAGCCAGGCGUAAUGGGGCACACCUGUAAUUCCAGCUACUCAGGAGGCUGAGGCAAGAGGUUCACUUGAGCCCAGGAGAUCGAGGCUGUAAUGAGCUAUGAUUGGGCCACUGCACCCUAGCCUGGGCGAUAGAGUGAGACCCUGUCAAAAAAAAAAAACAAAAAAACGACAGUGUCCCCAGUUCUCAGAUCUCUGGUUUAUGAGUGACGCUGCAGCCUCUCUCUGAUGAGCUGCAGGCUGGGGACUGACUCCUCGGCAGGUCUGCAGUGGGAACCUGUGGAGACAAAAGUGACUCCAUCUUGGAUGCCACUCCCCUGUGUUGACUUCCGAUUCGCCCCAGUCUUGUGAAUGCCUUCUGAUUUCUACUUUAUUUACUGCCCCUAGUGUAAGAACAUGUCAACCUUGAUGUUACUCCACAAAUCGUAGGCUGUGACUCACGUAGCGUUCUUGCCUGUUCUGGAGGGCUGCCUUUGGUUGUCUUGCUGGAGCACGAAUACCCUUUCCCUAUGGUAUCUAAGCCUUGCAUCUGGGGUGUGAGAAUGCAGAGCUCCACCUGUCUUGUGGCCACCCAAGAUCCCACUUCGGUCUGUAAAUUCCCUCAAUAAAUCACCCAAUAUUGAC
rnacentral:lncRNA from 1 species